GGCGAGAUGGCCGAGCGGUCUAAGGCGCUGGUUUAAGGCACCAUCCCUUCGGAGGCUUGGGUUCGAAUCCCACUCUCGUCA
rfam:Toxocara canis scaffold1227, whole genome shotgun sequence.